CACAUCAAAUAAUUUUGUUAUUUUUGUUUUUAUAACUAGAGAUAUGGCAAGAAGAAAGAAACAGCAGUUAUAACAUGAAAUGACAUGUACCCUGGCACCAUUAUGAAACAGGACAUGACUCCUCAUAAGGUCAGGUUGCACUAGCAUGAUAACAAGGAAACCGAAUUUCUGACGGCCACAGGAAAGCCAUGAGCAAUCUAAGGGAAGCAGCUGAAGCACACAGUAUUUGGGAUACACACACAAGCUCAUGCUGCCUGUAUGUCGGGUUAUCGAGGACAACGUUUCAGGCUGGGCCCCUCAGCACAAUUCAUUAUCUGAAGAGGCUUAGAUUGACAGAUAAAUAAAGACAUUGUUGUAAAUGA